GGAAUAUUGGACAAUGGGCGAAAGCCUGAUCCAGCAAUGCCGCGUGGGGGAUGAAGGCUCUCGGGUUGUAAACUCCUUUCAGCAGGGACGAAAUUGACGGUACCUGCAGAAGAAGCCCCGGCCAACUACGUGCCAGCAGCCGCGGUAAUACGUAGGGGGCGAGCGUUGUCCGGAUUCAUUGGGCGUAAAGAGCUCGUAGGCGGCUCCGUCAGUCGGGUGUGAAACCUCCAGGCUCAACCUGGAGCUGCCGCCCGAUACUGCGGUGGCUGGAGUCCGGUAGGGGGCCACGGAAUUCCUGGUGUAGCGGUGAAAUGCGCAGAUAUCAGGAGGAACACCGAUGGCGAAGGCAGUGGCCUGGGCCGGUACUGACGCUGAGGAGCGAAAGCGUGGGGAGCAAAC
rnacentral:rRNA from 1 species